GGCGGACGGGUGAGUAACACGUGGGCAACCUGCCUGUAAGACUGGGAUAACUUCGGGAAACCGGAGCUAAUACCGGAUAAUCCUUUUCCUCUCAUGAGGAAAAGCUGAAAGAUGGCUUCGGCUAUCACUUACAGAUGGGCCCGCGGCGCAUUAGCUAGUUGGUGAGGUAACGGCUCACCAAGGCGACGAUGCGUAGCCGACCUGAGAGGGUGAUCGGCCACACUGGGACUGAGACACGGCCCAGACUCCUACGGGAGGCAGCAGUAGGGAAUCUUCCGCAAUGGACGAAAGUCUGACGGAGCAACGCCGCGUGAGUGAUGAAGGUUUUCGGAUCGUAAAACUCUGUUGUUAGGGAAGAACAAGUACCGUUCGAAUAGGGCGGUACCUUGACGGUACCUAACCAGAAAGCCACGGCUAACUACGUGCCACCAGCCGCGGUAAUACGUAGGUGGCAAGCGUUGUCCGGAAUUAUUGGGCGUAAAGCGCGCGCAGGCGGUCUUUUAAGUCUGAUGUGAAAGCCCCCGGCUCAACCGGGGAGGGUCAUUGGAAACUGGGAGACUUGAGUGCAGAAAAGGAGAGUGGAAUUCCACGUGUAGCGGUGAAAUGCGUAGAGAUGUGGAGGAACACCAGUGGCGAAGGCGACUCUCUGGUCUGUAACUGACGCUGAGGCGCGAAAGCGUGGGGAGCGAACAGGAUUAAAUACCCUGGUAGUCCACGCCGUAAACGAUGAGUGCUAAUUGUUAAAGGGUUUCCGCCCUUUAUUGCUGCAGCAAACGCAUUAAGCACUCCGCC
rnacentral:rRNA from 1 species